UCCAGUCAUUCCACCACAUCACCAGCUCCACAACAAGCAUAAAAAUACAAUCAGGUAUUGGCAACCAAAAUAGUAGCAACAGAACGCUAUGCUUGUGCCCACAACUGUGUAUCCAAUUCAGACACCACUGCGUAUACGUAAUGGGCAACUCCAAGAUUACGCAUACGCAUUUCGUAUGCUAUUGCAAAAAAAAACCAAACAAAAAAGUCCCAAAAAU